CGCUGUGAUCAUACCAGCACUAAAGCACCGGAUCCCAUCAGAACUCCGAAGUUAAGCGUGCUUGGGCGAGAGUAGUACUAGGAUGGGUGACCUCCUGGGAAGUCCUCGUGUUGCAUUCC
rnacentral:rRNA from 3 species